rnacentral:rRNA from 1 species
GACAGAGGGUGCAAACGUUGUUCGGAAUUACUGGGCGUAAAGCGAGUGUAGGCGGUUCGAUAAGUCGGAUGUGAAAGCCCCCGGGCUCAACCCGGGAAGUGCACUCGAUACUGUCGAGCUAGAGUAUCGGAGAGGUUGGUGGAAUUCUCGGUGUAGAGGUGAAAUUCGUAGAUAUCGAGAGGAACACCGGUGGCGAAGGCGGCCAACUGGACGAAUACUGACGCUGAGACUCGAAAGCGUGGGGAGGCAAACAGG